ACUUUGGAAAAAUGUUUUGAAAUAUCCUACAAUACGUUCCCCAAGAAGACCUCCAAGAGAGACUCCUCCAUCGAAAUCUACGACCCAACUUUGUCGUCAUGCGACCCCAAGUUUCUCACUCUCCUCAUCCUCUCCGCUACCUCGCUCUUCAGACUGAAGUACGGCGGUGAAAGAGAUACCCCGAUGUCUUCUUCACUUUGAGUUUCUUGAGCUUUGCUCUUCCCUUCGAGGCUGAGGCUGACUUCCCUCCUUUUCUAAUGCAAUAAACCACAUCGAACUAUUUUCUCUUUUGUUUUUUGUUUGUUACAUCUCAGCCCACCAGAAAACUGGAUCUCCUUUUUUUGUUAGUAUUUAUUUAUUACUUCCAGACCAAUAUUUGUUUCUUUCUACUCUGCAGCAGCUGCUCAUAAAACGGACAUGCGACCUAUGAUUCUCAAGGAAUGUGUUGGUUUUUACAGAUAUAUUUCGAUUAAGGCAAUAAAGCCUAAGUCUCCUAUUGAUGUUCAAUAAUGGCUUACCUAUUUUGGUUAUGAAUUCUUUGAUGACAACUUAAUGUGGUACCCUCUGAAUAUUGUCUUGGGUUGUGCAUUCCUGAUUUUCCUUCUAAUUAUCAGGUUUAUUAUGAGGUCAGUUGAUGAGAAAUUGAUUUUUGCUAGUUACGAAAUAUUCAAUGGUAUAUUGGAUAUUAGAUCUCUUACAGGUAUCUUUCCAUGCUCCUUAUAUGAAGAGAAAAAAAAAACUUCCUUGCGGUUGGAGAACCUAACGAAGGAAACUUUUUCUUCUUUCUUUUGUUCAGAUUCCUGUGACACUUCAUAUGAGGCAGUUAAGGUGUUCAAAGGGAAUAGAGUAAUUGCAUCCAAGGGAGAAGCAUGUGCAAACUAGAGAGUGUACAAGCUUGUGUCUUAUUUUGCCUGUGAAAAAAUGUGCAAGAAGGUAGCUAACUCACACACCCAAGAACAAAGUGAUGAAGUUCAGAUGGAAUUGGUAGAGUUUGUGAGCAAUCACAUGUAGCUCCAUUAUUUCCAAUUAGGUUAAUGCUAUGGAUGUGGUAGGAAGUAUGUAUGUGGUACGAAUAAAUAUUGUUUAACUAUGUAAUAAAUGUUGAAUCUUGAAAUUUUAUGAAAGAAAUAAAUUUUGGGUA